rnacentral:rRNA from 1 species
AACGAACGCUGGCGGCAUGCCUAACACAUGCAAGUCGAACGAGACCUUCGGUUCUAGUGUCGCACGGGUGCGUAACGCUUGGUAACCUGCCCUUAGGUUCGGAAUAACUCCCCGAAAAGUUUGCUAAUACCGGAUAAUUUCUUCGUACCAAUGCUUUAUCGCCUUUGGAUGGGGCCGCGCUUGAUUAGCUAGUGGUUAGGGUACAAGCAUACCAAGGCGACGAUCCAUAGCUGGUGGGAGAGGAUGAUCAGCGAGACUGGGACUGAGACACGACCCAGACGCCUACGGGCGGCAGCAGAGGGGACACAUGGACAAGAGGCGAAAGCCUGAACCAGCAAUGGCGGGUGAGUGAUGAAGGGGUUAGGGUUGUCAAGCAGUAUUAGCGGAGAUGAUAAUGACAGUACCGGGAGAAGAAGCACCGGCUAACUCCGUG